rnacentral:rRNA from 1 species
UCAGCUCGUGUCGUGAGAUGUUGGGUUAAGUCCCGUAACGAGCGCAACCCUUGUCCUUAGUUACCAGCACGUAAUGGUGGGCACUCUAAGGAGACUGCCGGUGACAAACCGGAGGAAGGUGGGGAUGACGUCAAGUCAUCAUGGCCCUUACGGCCAGGGCUACACACGUGCUACAAUGGUCGGUACAAAGGGUUGCCAAGCCGCGAGGUGGAGCUAAUCCCAUAAAACCGAUCGUAGUCCGGAUCGCAGUCUGCAACUCGACUGCGUGAAGUCGGAAUCGCUAGUAAUCGCGAAUCAGAAUGUCGCGGUGAAUACGUUCCCGGGCCUUGUACACACCGCCCGUCACACCAUGGGAGUGGGUUGCAAAAGAAGUAGGUAGCUUAACCUUCGGGAGGGCGCUUACCACUUUGUGAUUCAUGACUGGGGUGAAGUCGUAACAAGGUAGCCGUAGGGGAACCUGCGGCUGGAUCACCUCCUU